AUCCAAACCGGACCAUGCUCACCCCUAGUCUUAGUAUAAAAUAUAAUAUCCCAUUUACGUAUAUAUGAUUUAAGCAAAUAAAGAUGUCUACGAAUAAAGACAUCAUGGAUACUGAUUCAUGUCCAUAUUCACUUGGAGAAAAUAUUGAUAUUUCAACAUCAUACAUACAUACAUACAUACAUACGUAUAUGUGUUAAUAUCUAAUUAAUAUAAGUGAUGCUAUAUAAUAUGUUAAAUAAAAAAUACUACAAAGAUGAGAACCUUGGGCACCCAACAUUACCUCUUCUCUCGGCU
rnacentral:lncRNA from 1 species